rnacentral:rRNA from 1 species
GAUGAACGCUGGCGGCGUGCCUAAUACAUGCAAGUCGAGCGAACAGAUAAUGAGCUUGCGCCUUUGACGUUAGCGGCGGACGGGUGAGUAACACGUGGAUAACCUACUUAUAAUACUGGGAUAACUUCGGGAAACCGGAUCUAAUACCGGAUAACAUAUUGAACCGCAUGGUUCAAUGGAGAAUGGCGGCUUUGCUGUCUCUUAUAGAUGGAUCCGCGCCGUAUUAGCUAGUUGGUAAGGUAACGGCUUACCAAGGCAACGAUACGUAGCCGAGCUGAGAGGGUGAUAGGCCACACUGGAACUGAGACACGGUCCAGACUCCUACGGGAGGCAGCAGUAGGGAAUCUUACGCAAUGGGCGAAAGCCUGACGGAGCAACGCCGCGUGAGUGAUGAAGGUCUUCGGAUCGUAAAACUCUGUUAUCAGGGAAGAACAAAUGUGUAAGUAACUGUGGACAUCUUGACGGUACCUGAUCAGAAAGCAACGGCUAACUACGUG